UACGGAGGGGGCGAGCGUUAUUCGGAAUUAUUGGGCGUAAAGGGCGCGUAGGUGGCCCUGUAAGUCAAAGGUGAAAUCCCUCGGCUCAACCGAGGAAUUGCCCUUGAAACUGCAGGCUUGAGGCCGGGAGGGGGUAGCGGAAUUCCCAGUGUAGCGGUGAAAUGCGUAGAUAUUGGGAGGAACACCGGUGGCGAAGGCGGCUACCUGGACCGGUUCUGACACUGAUGCGCGAAAGCGUGGGUAGCAAACAGG
rnacentral:rRNA from 1 species